rnacentral:rRNA from 1 species
AUUGAACGCUGGCGGCAUGCUUUACACAUGCAAGUCGAACGGUAACAGGCCUUCGGGUGCUGUCGAGCGGAGAACGGGUGAGUAAUGCAUCGGAACGUGCCCAGAGGCGGGGGAUACCGCAGCGAAAGCUGUGCUAAUACCGCAUGUGAUCUGAGGAUGAAAGCGGGGGACCAGGCAGCAAUGUUUGGACUCGCGCCUUUGGAGCGGCCGAUGUCAGAUUAGGUAGUUGGUGGGGUAAAGGCCUACCAAGCCGACGAUCUGUAGCUGGUCUGAGAGGACGACCAGCCACACUGGGACUGAGACACGGCCCAGACUCCUACGGGAGGCAGCAGUCGGGAAUUUUAGACAAUGGGCGCAAGCCUGAUCCAGCAAUGCCGCGUGCGGGAAGAAGGCCUUCGGGUUGUAAACCGCUUUUGUACGGAACGAAAAGGCUCUGGCUAAUACCUGGGGCUGAUGACGGUACCGUAAGAAUAAGCACCGGCUAACUACGUG